UAACGUAGCGAAAGUUACGCUAAUACCGCAUACGAUCUACGGAUGAAAGCGGGGGACUCGCAAGAGCCUCGCGCGAUUGGAGCGGCCGAUAUCAGAUUAGGGUAGUUGGUGAGGUAAAGGCUCACCAAGCCGACGAUCUGUAGCUGGUCUGAGAGGACGACCAGCCACACUGGGACUGAGACACGGCCCAGACUCCUACGGGAGGCAGCAGUGGGGAAUUUUUGGACAAUGGGCGCAAGCCUGAUCCAGCAAUGCCGCGUGCAGGAUGAAGGCCUUCGGGUUGUAAACUGCUUUUGUACGGAACGAAACGGUGAGCUCUAAUACAGUUUGCUAAUGACGGUACCGUAAGAAUAAGCACCGGCUAACUACGUG
rnacentral:rRNA from 1 species